rnacentral:rRNA from 1 species
CAAUAGCGUAUAUUAAAGUUGUUGCAGUUAAAAAGCUCGUAGUUGGAUUUCUGGUGGGAGCGAUCGGUCUGGCGCUUAGCGCGAGUACUUGCAUCGUCUCCGGCCAUCCUUGGGGAGAGUCUGUCUGGCAUUAGGUUGUCGGGCAGAGGAUCCUCAUCGUUUACUGUGAAAAAAUUAGAGUGUUCAAAGCAGGCUUAUGCCGUUGAAUAUAUUAGCAUGGAAUAAUAAGAUAGGACUUUGGUACUAUUUUGUUGGUUUGCGCACCAAAGUAAUGAUUAAUAGGGACAGUUGGGGGUAUUCGUAUUCCGUUGUCAGAGGUGAAAUUCUUGGAUUACGGAGGACGAACUACUGCGAAAGCAUUUACCAAGGAUGUUUUCAUUAA